rnacentral:rRNA from 1 species
AGAUCCAGCUUGCUGGAUGCUGACGAGCGGCGGACGGGUGAGUAAUGCAUAGGAAUCUGCCCGAUAGUGGGGGAUAACCUGGGGAAACCCAGGCUAAUACCGCAUACGUCCUACGGGAGAAAGGGGGCUUCGGCUCCCGCUAUCGGAUGAGCCUAUGUCGGAUUAGCUAGUUGGUGAGGUAAAGGCUCACCAAGGCAACGAUCCGUAGCUGGUCUGAGAGGAUGAUCAGCCACAUCGGGACUGAGACACGGCCCGAACUCCUACGGGAGGCAGCAGUGGGGAAUAUUGGACAAUGGGGGCAACCCUGAUCCAGCCAUGCCGCGUGUGUGAAGAAGGCCCUCGGGUUGUAAAGCACUUUCAGCGAGGAAGAACGCCUAGCGGUUAAUACCCGCUAGGAAAGACAUCACUCGCAGAAGAAGCACCGGCUAACUCCGUGCCAGCAGCCGCGGUAAUACGGAGGGUGCAAGCGUUAAUCGGAAUUACUGGGCGUAAAGCGCGCGUAGGUGGCUUGAUAAGCCGGUUGUGAAAGCCCCGGGCUCAACCUGGGAACGGCAUCCGGAACUGUCAAGCUAGAGUGCAGGAGAGGAAGGUAGAAUUCCCGGUGUAGCGGUGAAAUGCGUAGAGAUCGGGAGGAAUACCAGUGGCGAAGGCGGCCUUCUGGACUGACACUGACACUGAGGUGCGAAAGCGUGGGUAGCAAACAGGAUUAGAUACCCUGGUAGUCCACGCCGUAAACGAUGUCGACCAGCC